rnacentral:tRNA from 1 species
AUUUUGAAAGCGAACUAAACGCACUAAGUUUCGACCUUAGUAAUGAAUCAUUUUCUCAAAAUA